UACGUAGGGGGGCAAGCGUUGUCCGGAUUUAUUGGGCGUAAAGAGCGUGUAGGCGGUUUGGUAGGUCCGCUGUGAAAACUCGAGGCUCAACCUCGAGACGCCGGUGGAAACCAUCAGGCUAGAGUCCGGAAGAGGAGAGCGGAAUUCCUGGUGUAGCGGUGAAAUGCGCAGAUAUCAGGAAGAACACCCGUGGCUAAGGCGGCUCUCUGGGGACGGUACUGACGCUGAGGAGCGAAAAGCGUGGGGGAGC
rnacentral:rRNA from 1 species